UGGCGGCAGGCCUAACACAUGCAAGUCGAGCGGUAACAGAAAGUAGCUUGCUACUUUGCUGACGAGCGGCGGACGGGUGAGUAAUGCCUAGGGAUCUGCCCAGUCGAGGGGGAUAACAGUUGGAAACGACUGCUAAUACCGCAUACGCCCUACGGGGGAAAGGAGGGGACCUUCGGGCCUUUCGCGAUUGGAUGAACCUAGGUGGGAUUAGCUAGUUGGUAAGGUAAUGGCUUACCAAGGCGACGAUCCCUAGCUGUUCUGAGAGGAUGAUCAGCCACACUGGGACUGAGACACGGCCCAGACUCCUACGGGAGGCAGCAGUGGGGAAUAUUGCACAAUGGGGGAAACCCUGAUGCAGCCAUGCCGCGUGUGUGAAGAAGGCCUUCGGGUUGUAAAGCACUUUCAGUAGGGAGGAAAGGUAGCAGCUUAAUACGUUGUUACUGUGACGUUACCUACAGAAGAAGGACCGGCUAACUUCGUGCCAGCAGCCGCGGUAAUAC
rnacentral:rRNA from 1 species